CCUUCAACAUUGCCUCUAUUGGCAUAAUCCCACAAUAAAUCGCAGAAGAAAGUUACAAUUUGUUUUGAAUAUUUAAUAGAUUGACGAGAAAUAAUGUGUGGGAAGGAUUGAUUCAAUUCCUCUCCAAUCCAUAAAAUAGCCAUAUAUUUUCAGUACUUCUACUUCUUCUUUUGAUUAUCUAUUACAUAAGUAACAAAAAUGUUUUAGAACAAUAUAACAUGAGUGGUUUACCGUGUGGUUGGUAGCACCGCCAAGGAAAAUCUGGGUUACGGUUUUGGGUCCGAUGGGAUAACAAGGGUGGGUUACAACCUCUUUUAUUUUCUACUUAAAAAUAAAUACUUUUUAAUUUAGUUUAUAUUAUUUUUUUAUAAUCUUUUUGACCACCAUUCUUUAAUGACCACAUGCUAUCUUGAUCAGAAGCUGAACAUAAAAAGAUGUGAGGAAGUCAGGCUGCUACAUGCAUUGAAGAAGCUGAUUCUGGCUAUCAUAGGAUUGAUCAUUCUAAAAAUGAGUUGAAACUUUGUUCUUGAAUUUCAAUUCAUGUUUCGCUUGAAAAAACCUGAAAAUCAUCACAAACAAAAGAAAUAAAUAAAAAUUUUGCCCCAGUUUUCACGGGAAAUUUUUUAUAAGUUAUUAGAAAAUGUGAAUUUAAAAUAAAUAACUAAAUAAACUCAGACUAGGAAGUGUUUAUCCUAGAAGAAAGUAACCAAAUCUCAUUGUGUAGGAUGGUCCUACUAAUCCCAUUGUCCAGAAGGAUCCUGCUAAUAUGAAACUCAUUGUUUAAGAAGAUCCUGCUAUACUAAUUCUCAUCAUUUAGGAGGGUCCUGCUACUCUCGUUCUCAUUGUUUAUGAGGUUACUACUACUCUAAUUCCCAUUGUUUAGAAGGAUCCUGCUAAUCUAAUUCUUAUUGUUUUGGAGGGUCCUGCUAAUCUAAUUCUCAUUGGAUAGGAGGGUCUUACUACUGUAAUUCUCAUUGGUUAGGAGGGUCAUGCUAGUCUGAUUCUUAUUGUUUAGGAAGGUUCUUCUAGUUUAAUUCCCAUUAGUUAAGAGGGUCUGCCAAUCUAAUUCUCAUUGUUUAGGAGGGUACUGCCACUAUAAUUCUCAUUGUUUAGUACGGUAAUGCUACUCUAAUUUACAUUGUUUAGGAGGGUCCUGCUACUCUAAUUCUCAUUGUUUAUGAGGGUCUUGCUACUAAAAUUCUCAUUGUUUAUGAGGGUCCUGCUACUCUAUUUAUCAUUGUUUAUGAGGGUCAUGCUACUCUAAUUCUCAUUGUUUAGGAGGGUUCUGCUGCUCUAUUUCUCAUUGUUUAGAAGGUUUCUUCUAUUCUUAUUCUCAUUCUCGUUGUUUAAGAAGGUUCUGCUACUCUAAUUCUCUUUGUUUAUGAGGGUCCUACUACACUAAUUUCUAUUAUGAUGAAGGUCCUGCGCUAAUUCUCAUUAUUUAGGAGGUCCUGCUAAACUAAAUCUCAUUGUCUAUGAGGGUCCUGCUAAAAUAAAUCUCAUUGUCAAUGAGGGUCCUGCUACACUAAUCUCCUUGUCUAGAAGGGUCCUGCUAAACUAAAUUUCAUUGUCCAGGAGGGUCCUGUUAAUCCCACUUUCCAUGAGGGUCCUGCCAAAGUAUAUCUCAUUGUCCGGGUGGAUCCUGCUAAAUAAAUCACAUUGUACAAGAGGGUUCUGCACUUCUGCUACACUAAUUCUCAUUAUUCUGGAGGGUCCUGCUGGUCUUAUUAUCCAUGAGGGUGAUGCUAGUCUCAUUAUCCAGGAGAGUCUUGCUAAUCCCAUUAUCACGGAGGAUCCUGCGUCCCAUUGUGAGGAGAGUCCUCAUAAUUUAUUUAUCCACGAAGGUUCUGCUAGUCCCAUUGUGAGGAGGGUCCUAAUAAUCCCAUUGUGAGGAUAGUCCUGUUGAAUUAAAUCCAUUAUGAGGAGGGUACUACUAAUUUCACUAUGACUAGCCUCAUUGUGAGGAGGGUCCUUCUAAACUAAAUCUCAUUACUCAAGAAUAUCUUACUAAACAAAAUCAUUUGAAAUCACCAUAACAUUUUUAAUUUUAGCCCAGUUCACACGAGAAAAUAUUUUUUAUGGGUUAUUAGCAUGUAUGACAGAUUUCUAUACCAAAAGAAAAAUGCAAAACAAAAUGCAAUUAGGAUGUCUUUUUCCUAGAAAUGAAUGAAGAUAGAGUGUUUGUUUUCUAGAAUCGGUAGUGAUUUUUUAAAAAAAAAAAACUAAUAAAAAUCUGCCCCACUUUUUAAAUUGAGAAAAUUUGGAACUCUUUUUAAUUUAUUAUUUUUUACAUUUUUAAAAAAAAAAAUCAAUUUUGAUCAUUCAAGGAUAUAAGAUUUUAUAUUGUGAGACCAACUUAUUGUAGGAUCGCCUAUGUAUCCUGUAUUUAAAGAAUCAAGUCAAUCAUAGUUCAUAAUAAAUCAAAAAAAUACUUUUAUUUUUCUUGACAUUUCCUACAAAAGACAUCAUUUGAGAAAUAAAUUUGUUCAUAGUUGACAAUAUUUUUACUCUAGUGUGUACCAACAAUUAGUAUUAUGCAUAUAAAUCACCUUCAACUACUUUCUGACAAAGUUGAGGUCAACUUUGAGUAAUCCCUAUAAUUUCAAGUGGUAUUUCAAACAUACUCAAGCAUUUACAAGAUGAGUUCAUCUUGCCUGGGUUAAAGGAUAAAGUUAAUCAUAUCCUCAUGUUUCAAGUGCCCUUACAACAAAUGAAGUCCUAUUUCACACUUAAUAGUGCUAUGAUCUUAAGACAUUUUCAAAGUCACUCAUACUUGGAAAGAUGUUCGAUGCAUGAGAUUGAGAUACCAUAUGUUUGACCCUCAUGUAGAUAUCCACUAAUGUUAGAACAUUAAAAAUGAGAUCAAAUAGAGUUUGUCAUUGACUGUUGUUUUAGGGAAUUGUAUGAUAUUUAUUUGAGAUAAAAUGACUUUUCAUCCUUAAAAUUUACACAAUACUCUCAAUAUUUUUUCAUUUUCACAUUUGACCUUUGUUUUCUUGACUUCUCCUCAUUUAUCUUUCGUCUUGUUUUUCUUAUUUUCUCUCCUCUUUGUUGGAGAUUCUUUUUCAUUUUUCAUUCUAUAUUUUCUUUGUCGUCAUUUUUUUGAUUACAUGACCAACGGAUAUUGAAUUAUGAUUAAUAAUACAAUAAAAAAACUACACUUCAUACCAAAUUAAAAGUAUGUUUUAUGGGAAAAUUUUGUUAUCACAACAACUCGAAACAUUUAUUUAGUGUAUCACUUCUAUAUUAUGUGCCUUAUACAUUAAUGCCAACUAUUUUAUAUAUAUAUUUUUUACUAGUGAUAGGAGAGACGAGGACAUGAAAAUCAUGAUAAGCGAAAGAACUCUUGUGAGCAAAUCCAAAAACCGCAUGUCUAUACGUGAAAUGUCUAUCAGUUAAUGUAUGAUGUGAUGAUAUAAAGUCUAUUCAUUCUUAGCACGAUCAAUUAGUCAGGGUACAAUUAUAUCUAAAAGACAAUUUCUAACAACACAUGAAGGAUGGACAUAAAAAUUAUUCUCUAUUAGCUAUGGUUUUAAAAUCCUAAAACAUAAGCGUACAAUUUCUAACUACUAAAGCCAUGAAGUAUCAUAUUGAAGAAAUGUGCAUCUUAAAUAGAACAAACUUUCUAGAGUAAUGAUCUCUAAUCUAUCAAAUGAAAACUUAAGGUAUUUUAGGCAGUAAAUAGUAUGAAGGUUCAUUUAUAAAUUAAAUAACAAAAUAAUUAAUGAUGAUACACUCAUGACUCCAUACAAUUUUGAAGAUAGUGGACAUUCAACAUGAUAAUGUCAAAUAAUGAAAGUUAACAAAUUUGGAUCAGGAAAUUUGAGAUCAAAAUCAAAUACUCGGUGGGCUACCAAAACCUACUUAGAAGCUGCACUUGAUAACAUAUUACGGUAUAAGAAAUUUCUCAACUUUAUCCCAAAAAGGUGGGAUGGCAUAUGAUAAAGACUAAGAAAAUAACUAAAAUUGAGUUAAUAUAUCAAAAAGUCACUCUACAUUAAAAAGUUAUCUAUAUAACAAAGUCAUUGAACUUUGACUUGUAUAAAGAAAAAGUCACUCAACUUAUAUUAUUAAAUUAAUUAAAUCACAACUAAAUUUAUUAUUGGACUAUUUACUGGCAUUGGUGGCUGUUGUAGGAAAGGAUAGUUCUGAAAAUUUAUAAAUCUAAGAAAAUAUGUGAAAUGAAAACAAAAGCAAAGAAGGGUGAUUUCUUGAAAAUUAGUGUUAUCGUUGGUAGAAGCAAAAUAUUUGUUGCUAUGGUCACAAGAACUCAUACAACACUUGAAGGACCAUGUUUUUCAUAGUUUGUGUCAUCUGAUUGAGAUUUGCUAGCUUAUUUUGUAUUGACAUGUAGAUGCAUCGGUCAAUAGAUGAAAAAGUCUGGUAAGUGAAGGUUAACAGAGGAGGACCUUUAGUUACAUGUAAAAAGUUAUCCUGUAAGAUCCACAAUCUUGGUAUCAAUGCAGAUGAAAGAAAAAUAUAUGGUGAUAUCUAUAAGGUGAGGAUAGAUUUAACUUAAUUUUCACGUUUAUUUUCUUUAUUAUGAUAACUAAUGAAUUGAAAAGGAAUACCUGACGAUUCAUUUAGCCAAUCCCAACUUAUUUGUAUUAGAGGUGUAAUUGUGGUUGUAUGUUAUUCUGUUGUUUUUAAAGGUAAAAUCAUUACUUGUAUAGUUGCAUUUCAGCAAGAGUUAAUACAAAAUAUUCAUGGCCAGUUUGUACGUUCUUUCCUUACAGUAGUUGUGUGCAAAUGUCUUUUUAAUGGUAAAUUUAGUUGAGUGAUUUCAUUGAUACAAUAACCUAAGUUGAGCAAUCUCAUUAAUACAAAACAAAGUUUAAUGACUUCGUUAGAUAAAUUUUCUAAUGUGAAUGACCUUUUAAGAUGUAUUAUCCUAAAAGCUCCAGUAAUGUAAAAGAAAAAAAACUAGCAACCAACACCACGUAAUUGAGAAGCACAACUAUAUCACUUCUUAGACUCAAACUAUAAAUUAACCGAUAAUUUUCAUUUCAAGAUUAAAAAAAAAUAUAAAAUAGUAUGCAAACUACAACAAGUCCAUAACAUAUAUAAGGAUCUAAAAAUAUAGAAUAUCAUAAAUCACCAAUAAUAAAAAAGUAUAGCCAUUUAUACUUUGAUUUCUAGAGGCAACAGCAAAUGAAGUGCCCCCAAUUUAAAUAUAAUGAAGGAUAAAACUAAAAAUCUAUACUCCAAAUUAUGAAAUAUGCAACUAAAUUACCUUUGACACUUACACCUACCUAUCCAUUGUAACAUGGUGGAAGAAAUCUUCCUUUAAACUUUAACUAAAUGGGAAAUAUAUAAUUAUACAAGGACAAGAGAAAAACAAAAAGAACAAAAAGAAGUGAAAUACAAGUAUCACUUACCUAAGUAAAAAAUUCUCAGGUACAGAAUUAUACUAUGCGAGCUUAACAGGCUAGUUGAUAACAAAUUAAAAUAUGGAAUGGCUAAUCUCUGCCUCCAAAAUUAAACAUGUUAGAUCCUAGAUGAUUUAAAUAGCAAAGAUAUCAUAAAUCUUCUACUACUAUUUCUACUUUUUUUUUAAUAUGUUUCACUACAUGAUACAAUCAGAAACUAAAAAAAAGGUAUACGCAUGCAUAAAUGGACUUAUCAAAUAGCUAAUGAAAAAAAAAUUUUAAGGUACUCCUAUAGAAAAAAGAUGAUUCAGAAACUUAGCCAAUGAUACAUGUAAACUCAAUUGCCUCCUGCAACAACAUCGAUCCAAUCACAACGUACUCCAAUUCUAACCUUCUAAUUAUUACAUAAAAAUAUAUAUAGUAUAGGUAAUUCCAAGUAAAAAAAAUGAAAACAAAAUAUGAACUUUUGAAACUUUUGGCAACAAUUUAACGUUCAAAGGAGAGGUAAUGGUUACUCGUCUUAUAAAUUGGCUAGACAUCCGACUUGAAAUUCUUACAAGAUAAGGCAAUAUUUUUUAUUAAAUGCUUUGGUAAUUGAAAAACAAAGGAGAAGUGCGUGGAUAUUACCUCUUUUGUUUUUAAUUUUUCACUCAACAACGAUUACAGAAAUUUGUUGUCACAGGGGCGCUGCUUAGCAAUUCGACCUUCCAAACUCAAGCCUGUAAAUUUUCAAAAAAUCAAUCUUUUUUUUAUGUAAACUGACUGUUGAUACAAUUUCACAUAUAAAAUAGCGAUACCCAAAUAUGUUAAAAUAUGUGAAUUAGGUCUAGAGAGAAACCUGAAAAUGUCGGUCACCCAAUUUACAUGAGCAAGAUGCAGAUGUAUUGAAGAUUAGGGCUGAAAAGAAAAAUUCUUCUUUGAAGGAGAAGGGAUAGGGUUUCCACGAGUAGGAGAUAAAAAAUAAAG
rnacentral:lncRNA from 1 species